GGCGGCAUGCUUUACACAUGCAAGUCGAACGGCAGCACGGACUUCGGUCUGGUGGCGAGUGGCGAACGGGUGAGUAAUAUAUCGGAACGUACCCAGAAGUGGGGGAUAACGUAGCGAAAGUUACGCUAAUACCGCAUACGAUCUACGGAUGAAAGUGGGGGAUCGCAAGACCUCAUGCUUUUGGAGCGGCCGAUAUCUGAUUAGCUAGUUGGUGAGGUAAAGGCUCACCAAGGCGACGAUCAGUAGCUGGUCUGAGAGGACGACCAGCCACACUGGAACUGAGACACGGUCCAGACUCCUACGGGAGGCAGCAGUGGGGAAUUUUGGACAAUGGGCGCAAGCCUGAUCCAGCAAUGCCGCGUGAGUGAAGAAGGCCUUCGGGUUGUAAAGCUCUUUUGUCAGGGAAGAAACGGUAGAGGCUAAUAUCCUUUGCUAAUGACGGUACCUGAAGAAUAAGCACCGGCUAACUACGUGCCAGCAGCCGCGGUAAUACGUAGGGUGCAAGCGUUAAUCGGAAUUACUGGGCGUAAAGCGUGCGCAGGCGGUUUUGUAAGUCUGACGUGAAAGCCCCGGGCUCAACCUGGGAAUUGCGUUGGAGACUGCAAGGCUUGAAUCUGGCAGAGGGGGGUAGAAUUCCACGUGUAGCAGUGAAAUGCGUAGAGAUGUGGAGGAACACCGAUGGCGAAGGCAGCCCCCUGGGUCAAGAUUGACGCUCAUGCACGAAAGCGUGGGGAGCAAACAGGAUUAGAUACCCUGGUAGUCCACGCCCUAAACGAUGUCUACUAGUUGUCGGGUUUUAAUUAACUUGGUAACGCAGCUAACG
rnacentral:rRNA from 1 species